rnacentral:rRNA from 1 species
CCCUUAGAUGUUCUGGGCUGCACGCGUGCUACAAUGGCGUUUCCAGCAAGUCUGCGAACCCGAGAGGGCCAGCGGAUCUUCGAAUUGGCGUCGUGAUCGGGACAGUCGAUUGCAAUUAUUUGACUCAAACGAGGAAUUCCUUGUAAUCGCGAUUCAUCAUAUCGCGCUGAAUACGUCCCUGCCCUUUGUACACACCGCCCGUCGCUCCUACCGAUUGAGCGAUCCGGUAAAUGUUUUGGAUUGGUGCCGGGGCGGCUAGCUGCCGGUCGCUACGAAAUUUUGUGAACCUGAUCGCUUAGAGGAAGGAAAAGUCGUAACA